CUUGCUGGGAUCGGGUGCUGCUAAAACCGGGGAGGAACAGAGAAGAGCCUUAGCUGACUCAAACGCCUGUUGACACUCUGCAGACCACGUAAACUGUACCUUCGGGCUCAGUAAUGAGGGGUGCAUUCUGAUGGGCGACGCAUUUCCUACGUCAAUGUCAUGCUCCAACACUGUUGUGCGGCCGGGAACGUCCUGAAAGAGACUGGGAAACGAAUGAAUGAGGGCAGACCUUUGCAACCAGCAUCCCAGCUACCGGACCUG